rnacentral:misc_RNA from 1 species
GAUGAAGAACGUAGCAAAAUGCGAUAAGUAAUGUGAAUUGCAAAUUCAGUGAAUCAUCGAGUCUUUGAACGCACAUUGCGCCCCCUGGUAUUCCGGGGGGCAUGCCUGUCCGAGCGUCAUUGCUGCCCUCAAGCACGGCUUGUGUGUUGGGCCCCGUCCUCCGAUCCCGGGGGACGGGCCCGAAAGGCAGCGGCGGCACCGCGUCCGGUCCUCGAGCGUAUGGGGCUUUGUCACCCGCUCUUUAGGCCCGGCCGGCGCUUGCCGAUCAACCCAAAUUUUUAUCCAGGUUGACCUCGGAUCAGGUAGGGAUACCCGCUGAACUUAAGCAUAUCAAUAAGCGGAGGA